UAGGGAAUAAGCUGUGCUGUAAAACUAACCCAUAGUCAUUUCCCACAGGGAUGAAGGAUGACUUUUGCUAAUACUGCACCAGAGCACACAAUCACACCAAGAAGUCUAUAAUCACUGUAAGAGAACAGGUUAACAAGGACUUUUAGGAAGCUUGAAGUCACAGACUGUGAUGGAGACCUACGUGUUCAAUCUAUUAAGAGCUUCUAACUAGCUGGCUUGUGUGGAAGAUCCAGUAAAGGAGUCUAGGGAUGAUUCUGGGGGAAGAGUGGAGCUUCAAGGUGAAGGAAGAACAACAUUAUGAGCAGAGAGAGACAGGAUGUUCAUUUAAAGUAUAAGAGCUUCGGCAGUCAUUUGUGAAGGAAAGUUAACCAGCCAUCAGAAGUACAGAUAGGACUCAUAUAAAAGGUAAUGUGGCUACAUUUCCCCAAAUCUCUGAGGUCCACAGCCUUCCAAGAUGUCCC
rnacentral:lncRNA from 1 species